CAAGAUCAUUAGGGGUGCCUUAAUAUAACGGGCUGAGAUCAUACCCAUAUCACCUGAAACGGAUAAUGCCGGCGCAGGGAAAUGAAAAAUAGCUAAU
rnacentral:ncRNA from 2 species